UGCCAGGACCGGGGUGGGCGGCGGAGGGAGGAGGUUUGGUUGCGCCGUGCCGCCGCCGCAGUGCAGCACCGAUAUUCACGAACGCUGCUACGCCAGGGGCUGCCGGCGCCGCCGCGCAGGGCAUCGGGGUCUGCGCAAGUGGCGCAGCUGCUUCAUGGCGGCUGCUCGGCCGCCGUGUUCCUGCACCGUUCGCUGCCGAGCUGCAGCUCUCCCAGAGCUCCAGAGCCAAGGGCCUGCCGUGGGAGCUGCAGGCACGUUCACAGAAGGGUACUUUAAUAUAUAUGCUAGUAUAUAUGUUCAUAAGAUUUUUGUUUGUUUGGAGUUUUUAAAAUUUUAUUCAAUAAAUUUAUUUAAGCUUCCUCCGUCAGCCCACAUUUCGGAUUCGGCUGAGGUAAAAAAAAAUGAGCCGAUAGUAGACGGUAGCCCUGAGCUUGCAAUCAGACCCGGUGGACGAAGUUUGCUAUCUGAGCUCCAGGAGGCUGUCUGUACAGAUCCAGUUUCAGGAUUGAAUGCUGAAGGAUUCAGCAGGAUAUAUGGUGUUCCAUAGCUCACACUGACUUUGGCAGGUGAGAACCAAAGAAGUUUCUGUGCUUGGCUGCUCAUAGCAUCCCUUCAGAUGUGCCACACUUUGUCAGCCUCAGAGACCUGCUGCAUGAAUACAAUUGAUGAAGGCAGUGAACCAUAAUGCAGAGGACAAAAAAAAUUGUGAAAUGCCUUCUAUUUCAAGCAUCUCACCUUCUCCUUAAAUUCCUUCACUUCUUGGCAUGGGAGACACCAUUAUUCAUAUCUGAGAAUGUAGCAGCCCAAUUGUUUGUUUGACUAUUUGGGAAAAAAAUUACCUAAAGAAUCUUUUUUUCGGUCUAUCCCCUUGACUUUACCAACAAAAAAACCCCACAGCCCCUGUCCUCCCAACAAACAAAUCCUACCAACCAACCAAAGAAACAUACAAAAAAACCAAAAAGGAAUUUUAUGUCUAGCAGUUGCAGUGCCACCUUGCAUCCAUCAGUCCCCUUUGUGAUUUGUCCAAAUUCUACCUCCCCUUUGUAUUUUCCCCCUUUCUCUCCUCUGCUUGCACUGGACACCAGUGAUGCUUUCAUUCAAAUCAGGUGGUUUCCAAUUGGCAUAGUGGUGGUUCUGGAUUUGUUCCUGCAAGUCUGAACUUGCAGAAUCGAUGCAUAAUUCCAGCCUGAGUGCACUGGCACCGGUUAUUUUGAGAAGGGAUGUCUAUCAAGUGUCCUGAGGAACCCUCUGCGUUGCAGGCUGUGUGGCACAGGAGCAGGAGUUGCUGCUCAGAUGCAUCAUCUGGCUGAGAGGAAGAGAGAUGUCCCUUGCUGCACAUAUGGGAGAGCUCAGAAGCCGGGCAGGCUCCUAUGGAAAGAGCCCAUGAGAUGUGGGAAAGGAGCUUUCAGAGCUGGGAGCUUUCCCUUACUGCUGCCGAGCUGGAAUCACCACUACUUACCCGGUGUAAUAGGUUGCCUUGCAGUGAUUCCAAGGCUGGGCCCUGCUGGGUGGGGGUUCCAGACAGUGCUGGUGACAGGGUGGCUGGGGCUGUGUGGCACUGCACAUCUCAUCCCAUGCUGGCCAGGGGGCUGGCUGGGCUGCCUUUAUUCAGAGUGCCCCAUUAAAGCAGCGUGGACAUGCAGAUAAUGUGAGCCAAAGCACCCGUGUAGAGAAUUACUGCAGAGUAAGUAAUGCACUGGCAAUUCACACCCUAGUUUAUUCCAUGUUAAUUUCUCCAACAUAAUCACCUCCUGCACCUUCUAAUUUCCCCAACAGUUUUUCAGCCUGUGCCUUUAUUCGCAGCCUUAUUUUUCUCCGAAGCCAUCAUGACGCACCCGAUGAAUGAAGUAGCUGGCACACACAUUUAACCAAAUGUGAAAUGUACUCGUUUAGUUUUACCUGUGAUAGAAGCCUGUCUCAAGGAGAGCUGUACUAUAGAAAAAAAAGGGCUGGGGAAAAAAGAAAAAAAAGCAAAACCCAAACCCAAACUGAAAAAUACACCUCUAUUUUUCAUUUAAACAUUUCUUUUGGCACUUCUACUGAAGCAGAAUGUUCUUAACAGCAAACCCAUUCAUACUGUGCAGAUUGACUUUUAGAGGAAUUGUUUGCAUUGUCUCUUGGAAAAAUGCACUAAUAAUACACUGGGUAUGUGCUUAAAUUGUACAAUAUAGCAUGGAUGGUGUCAAAACAUUGCAGAAGGCUUUGUGCUUGUUCUCUACAGGAUUUAAAUUUGCAGAGUAUUGCUAUUAAACUUCUGUAUAUCUGUAGAGGUGACUUUGAGUGACACUGAUUUAACAAUACUCACUGAGGCAAGAUCAUUCCUACCCUUCUAGACAGUGGUACAGUUUAAGCCACCUGGGAGGUCCCUUCUCUUUCCCCUUCCUUUGGAAAAUCCUUUGCAGUAGAUUUCACUGAGCCUUCCAUAUAAUAAAUUAUUUUGCUUUCACUCCGGUGUCUUCUGAAAUGCUGCACCUAAUACCUUAACUCACCAGCUGGAUUCCUGCUCCUCAGAACCAGACACACUAAAAAAAUAUAUUAAAAAAUCCACCUCCUGAUUCCCAAUUUAAGACUCAGAAGACUUACUGGAUUUCUCAAGUGUAACAAUAUGUCUGGCAGUUACAAUUGCACAGGACUCUUACGGUGGUUCUCCCUCUGAAAUCUGGAAAGAUACUUGGGGUGUGACUUGAGAAUUAGCCAGUGAAAACUGCCUGGAAUAGUCAAGUGUCAGAGAUAGUGAGAUUUCACCAGGGAGUGUUUGUACAGGCCGUGAGGGAAGCGAGGCAGUGCCCAUAGCAGCACAGCUUGCUUUGCUUUCACAGGCCUAUUUAGAACUGGGAAUAUUUUUAGCUGAUAUAAUUGUACUAAUGCAUAAUCAUCAUAACUUGCAAAGAGGAAGAUUGCAUAUGUAUUCCCAGAAUGGUUUAGGACAACAAACCAACCAAAAAAUAAACCCAGCAGUGACUGUCUUCUCAUCAGGUCCAGUUCAGUGAAAUAUAUAAGCUGCAAAAUUUUCACAUUCUCUAGUUUUUUAAAAUGACAUAUUUUUUCAUGGUCCUUAGCUCAGCAGAGUGAGUGUGCUGUGCUGCAGUGUUCUGUUUCUGGCAUUGGUUAGCACCACCUUUACAAUAAAGUAGGAAAGAUUUCAAAUUUUUAAUUUUCAUUAUUUGCUAGGAGAGGAGUUUUUCUUUCUCCUAACCACUGCCAGCUCAUGUUUGAUUUACCUUAGAGCAUGUCUAUAAUUUGUAAUUUUUAUAGUUAUUAAAAUUUCUAUUUUCUAUGUUAAUGUCUAAUUUUGACAGCUUUUAGGCCCUCUAGUAGCACAUUUCAAUGAGUUCUGUGGUUUAAUUGUAUGGUGUUUAAGAAGUAAUAAUCCUUGUAUCAGUUUUAGGAUGUAUUGGCUUGAUUCCAGUGUAAUCUGUCUGCUUAAGUGGUUUUGUGGCAAUCAUCUUCUAUAUGAAAUACUUAUCAUAUUCAGAGAUACCUACUGCAGCUGAACACAAAGUACAGUUGGUUGAGUUAGAAGAGCAUCUGAAUGUCCUAUAGCUGCAUUGCAUUACUCCUUAAAAAAUAUCUGUUAUUGAUGAACUCAGAAGCAUGGGUGGGAAAUUACUGUUACUGAAAUGCUGCACAUGAUCUUACCAAUCUAAUUUCGUAUUUUCUUUCUCAGUGAAGAGGAUGCUGUGUCGUGGUUUGUGUGUGAAGAAACAAUAGGAAUACACCACAGAACAUUUAUAUACAUUUACCUGCUUGUAGCAAAGGGCUUUUGUUGGAUGUAAAGAGCUGCUCCUUGCUCUGUGCCUUAGUUUUCCAUGGGCAGAAGCACAGAAUGUCUUCUUAAAAUUUAAGAAAUUGCAUAAAGGAAGUGCUUUGGGAAGAGAGAUGGGAGAAGAGAACCAAAGCCACUACCAGAACAUGACCUAAAUCAGGACAAACAUUGGAAGACUGUCAGAUGUUUCAAAAGAAAGAAGGUUGGAUCUGACUCUGAAAGUGGCUUCUAUUAACUAAUGCAUUUGUUUUACGUGUGAAUAGUUGGAUCCCUAGACUGAGAUGAUAUUGGCUUGAAUUUACAAAAGUUUAUACAGGGGGUGUUUGACAGUGCUGCAAAAAGGACAAAGGAGACACAGUACAAGACCAAAUUAAGAUGUAGUUAAUUAGUCUGUGUGAUAGUUCUUUCCAGCAGGGAAAGGAAGGUUAAGAAAUAAAGUCAUUGUAUUCAUGGAAAAGCAAACCCCGAGCGAGUGCGUCACACAGGAAGUCUUGGGAGUUACUCCAGAUUUAUGCUGAUGUAACAGGACACAAGAGAAAAAUGUAUGACUUUCUGUCCUAAGCAGAUGGAAUACUGUUAAGUGACAGCUCCAGCAGGAACAGAUUUGGGAAGUACUGUUUUUAAAGGCUUGUUAAAGCAGAAUGUUUUAAAGAAAGGUUGGAAAUAGCAGGAAGAGGAAUCAUCUUCAUUUUUCAGGUUUAAAUAUAAUGUAAUGCCUGAGUAGUGCAUUACAAGUCCAUGCUGCUGAUAAUGCUGGAAUCCUAUCCAGUGGCCUCUGUUUCCCCAGUUCUAUUGUCAAGUAAUCUAUUUAAAUUUAGACUAUGAGGGGGAAAGACCAAUACUAGUACUGAUCCAAGACGUGGGUAUUCCUGGUCUGUGCUGGACUCAAGGUAGGCUGUCUAUCCUUGGCUUGUGAUCUUCCUGUUCUACUGCUGAAGUACUGAAAGAAAAACGUUAGUUGAAAGAACUGAGAGAGACCUUAUAAAUGUGCUAAAAGGCAUCAGGGCAGUUUUAAAGCUCUUUGUGAAAAAGUAAAACACAAAUGUGGCCUUUUGCCUCUCCACCAGCGUAAUAAAUGCCAUCAAACGUUCCAUUAGUACCAUGCUGUGUUUUCCAAGAAGAGAAAUGUCAUCAUGUUCAUCCUAUUCAAUUUUUAAAAAUAUCUCUCUCUCUGUCUCCUUCAUAACACUAUCGAGGAGACUGGACAAAGUUAAACACAGCAAUUCAAAAGUCAGAUCCAUUAGCCAAGAUGGAAUUGGACUCUCUGCUAAAAGAAGAAUGAUGAAAAGUACUGACAGAAUGACCACACUGAGGAUUUCUUUAAUUUAGAUAUUGCAGUU